rnacentral:rRNA from 2 species
GAGGUUAAGCGACUAAGCGUACACGGUGGAUGCCCUGGCAGUCAGAGGCGAUGAAGGACGUGCUAAUCUGCGAUAAGCGCCGGUAAGGUGAUAUGAACCGUUAUAACCGGCGAUUUCCGAAUGGGGAAACCCAGUGUGACUCGUCACACUAUCAUUAACUGAAUCCAUAGGUUAAUGAGGCGAACCGGGGGAACUGAAACAUCUAAGUACCCCGAGGAAAAGAAAUCAACCGAGAUUCCCCCAGUAGCGGCGAGCGAACGGGGAGGAGCCCAGAGCCUGAAUCAGCAUGUGUGUUAGUGGAAGCGUCUGGAAAGGCGCGCGAUACAGGGUGACAGCCCCGUACACAAAAGCGCAUGUGCUGUGAGCUCGAUGAGUAGGGCGGGACACGUGGUAUCCUGUCUGAAUAUGGGGGGACCAUCCUCCAAGGCUAAAUACUCCUGACUGACCGAUAGUGAACCAGUACCGUGAGGGAAAGGCGAAAAGAACCCCGGCGAGGGGAGUGAAAAAGAACCUGAAACCGUGUACGUACAAGCAGUGGGAGCACCCUUUGGGGUGUGACUGCGUACCUUUUGUAUAAUGGGUCAGCGACUUAUAUUCUGUAGCAAGGUUAACCGAAUAGGGGAGCCGGAGGGAAACCGAGUCUUAAUUGGGCGUUAAGUUGCAGGGUAUAGACCCGAAACCCGGUGAUCUAGCCAUGGGCAGGUUGAAGGUUGGGUAACACUAACUGGAGGACCGAACCGACUAAUGUUGAAAAAUUAGCGGAUGACCUGUGGCUGGGGGUGAAAGGCCAAUCAAACCGGGAGAUAGCUGGUUCUCCCCGAAAGCUAUUUAGGUAGCGCCU